rnacentral:rRNA from 1 species
GACGAACGCUGGCGGCGUGCUUAACACAUGCAAGUCGAACGGAAAGGCCUGCUUUCCCUUGUGGAUUGCGGGUACUCGAGUGGCGAACGGGUGAGUAACACGUGAGUGAUCUGCCCCCAACUUGGGUAUAAGCCUGGGAAACUGGGUCUAAUUCCCGAUAGGACUGCAGGGUGGUGCCUGUGGUGGAAAACGAUUUUCUAGUGGUUGGGGAUGAGCUCGCGGCCUAUCAGCCUGUUGGUGGGGUAAUGGCCUACCAAGGCGGCGACGGGUAGCCGGCCUGAGAGGGUGGACGGCCACAUUGGGACUGAGAUACGGCCCAGACUCCUACGGGAGGCAGCAGUGGGGAAUAUUGCACAAGGGGCGGAAGCCUGAUGCAGCGACGCCGCGUGGGGGAUGACGGCCUUCGGGUUGUAAACUCCUUUCGACCGCGAGGAAGCCACCUGGUUGGAAGGGUGGUGACGGUAGUGGUAGAAGAAGCACCGGCUAACUACGUG